UGGAAAAACAAUUCUUGAGCUUGGGAGUGAUGACGAAGGUCCAAGCACAGGGGCACAUGGAUGGCCCUGCAAUUAUUGAGGUCCUUGGGCAAAGAAGUCGCAAUGAAGUUUUUGCUGAAAUUUAUAUGGUUGCUGGAAGAGCACUUGGUUCUUGUUCGGAAGCUUGGGGAGAUUAUUUUGCCUUCAAUUAUUCCAAUUUUAACUCAAGGGGUUAAACACCCUGACAGUAGUAGAAGACAAAAUGCAAGGAAUUGAUGAAAAAUUUUCCACACCCCUUCAUGCAUUAGAGGAUGAUGAAACUUCUGAUACAGUGCUUGAUGGACUCAAACUAAUAUUGAGGGAUUGCGGUCGUUUUGCCUCACAUCUUGCCUAAAUUAGUCCAAUUUCCGCUUUCAUGAGAUUGACAUGGUUGCUUGGGAAGCUUUAGGAAGAGUUGUUGGAUCACUCCAAAAGGAUGCCCUUUCUUCAUUCAUUAAAGCUGUCCGAGAUGCUCUUGAGAUAAAGAGCGAAGAAAAAGAAAGAUAUCUCUUUUUUUCUAUGAAGGAGACCAGCAGCGUUGUG